CUGGCAAGGACUGGAAAUAGCAACCUGAUCAUCGUCCAGGUGCCGGAUCCUUGCUCUGGGGGCUGAAGAAGUACACAGAACACCAGGUUCCCGAAGAGGCUCAAUCAGUGUUACCAAAGGAUUAUAGAAAAUGAACUCUGAGCUCGCCAGUACAAGGGAGAAUAUCUUCCUCUUGAUUCAGAUGGGAAUGACUCUAGACUUUGAAUAAUUCCUGGAACUGCAACAGAAGAUCUGGUCAUCCAUGUCUAUUCCCAAAGCCAACAAAGGAUCACCUUCCUGACUCCCAAACUUGAGAGAUGAAGACAGCCAUGUGAAAGUCCAGAGAAGAACAACAGAAGUGAUUCUAACAACAAUAACAGCCUUAUUAACACAGCAACGUUAACUCAACUUUGAAGAUAUAGGAAUGUUUUAGCCAAAAAUGGGGAGUGUUUCAUGGGUCAUCCCUGUAUAAAUAGAAUUCAGAGACAAUCCUGACCCGAUGAUUUCCACUUCCACUGAUGGGUGAACCAAAGGGAACAGGCUUACAGCGCUUUUCAACUGGGAGAGAGGGGGAUGACACUGGGAACAUCCCAGGAAGGCCGUAGGGGAGAGAGAAGGAAGAAGAAGCGGUCAAAGUAACAGUCUAAGACCACUUACUGAGGGAGUGGAAUUUCCUUCCUUGAAGUUUUUUUUGUGAACAGGAUUGUCCCUCACCUGGCAGACUGGUCAGGUUUGUUAACAAACUAAAAUAAUAAAAUAAUAAUAAUAAACACCUCCCCGAAACCUGACUCCAAGACCAAGGAGAACCAGGAUGUUCCCAGUGUCACCCCCCUCUCUCCCAGUUGAAAAGCUCUGUGGCAACCCAGAAGGCUUCCAAGGAGAACCAAGGGCAAUGAGAUGUAGAUUCUGCCAUGACGUUAUUGCUAUACUGUAUUCUCCCAAGCGCUUAGUACAGUGCUUUGCACACAGUAAGCACUCAAUAAAUACUA